CUGGAACUGAGAUACGGUCCAGACUCCUACGGCAGGCAGCAGUGGGGAAUAUUGCACAAUGGGCGCAAGCCUGAUGCAGCCAUGCCGCGUGUGUGAAGAAGGCCUUCGGGUUGUAAAGCACUUUCAGUCGUGAGGAAGGUAGUGUAGUUAAUAGCUGCAUUAUUUGACGUUAGCGACAGAAGAAGCACCGGCUAACUCCGUGCCAGCAGCCGCGGUAAUACGGAGGGUGCGAGCGUUAAUCGGAAUUACUGGGCGUAAAGCGCAUGCAGGUGGUUUGUUAAGUCAGAUGUGAAAGCCCGGGGCUCAACCUCGGAAUAGCAUUUGAAACUGGCAGACUAGAGUACUGUAGAGGGGGGUAGAAUUUCAGGUGUAGCGGUGAAAUGCGUAGAGAUCUGAAGGAAUACCGGUGGCGAAGGCGGCCCCCUGGACAGAUACUGACACUCAGAUGCGAAAGCGUGGGGAGCAAACAGGAUUAGAUACCCUGGUAGUCCACGCCGUAAACGAUGUCUACUUGGAGGUUGUGGCCUUCAGCCGUGGCUUUCGGAGCUAACGCGUUAAGUAGACCGCCUGGGGAGUACGGUCGCAAGAUUAAAACUCAAAUGAAUUGACGGGGGCCCGCACAAGCGGUGGAGCAUGUGGUUUAAUUCGAUGCAACGCGAAGAACCUUACCUACUCUUGACAUCCAGAGAACUUUCCAGAGAUGGAUUGGUGCCUUCGGGAACUCUGAGACAGGUGCUGCAUGGCUGUCGUCAGCUCGUGUUGUGAAAUGUUGGGUUAAGUCCCGCAACGAGCGCAACCCUUAUCCUUGUUUGCCAGCGAGUAAUGUCGGGAACUCCAGGGAGACUGCCGGUGAUAAACCGGAGGAAGGUGGGGACGACGUCAAGUCAUCAUGGCCCUUACGAGUAGGGCUACACACGUGCUACAAUGGCGCAUACAGAGGGCGGCCAACUUGCGACAGUGAGCGAAUCCCAAAAAGUGCGU
rnacentral:rRNA from 1 species